GGUCUGCUAGCUCAGUUGGUUAGAGCGUCGUACUAAUACUCCAUUCCAUGGAUUAUCGGUAAUGCGAAGGUCAUGAGUUCGACCCUCAUGUGGACCA